AACGAACGCUGGCGGCAGGCUUAACACAUGCAAGUCGAACGCCCCGCAAGGGGAGUGGCAGACGGGUGAGUAACGCGUGGGAAUCUACCCAGUUCUACGGAAUAACCCAGGGAAACUUGGACUAAUACCGUAUACGCCCUACGGGGGAAAGAUUUAUCGGAAUUGGAUGAGCCCGCGUUGGAUUAGCUAGUUGGUGGGGUAAUGGCCUACCAAGGCGACGAUCCAUAGCUGGUCUGAGAGGAUGAUCAGCCACACUGGGACUGAGACACGGCCCAGACUCCUACGGGAGGCAGCAGUGGGGAAUAUUGGACAAUGGGCGCAAGCCUGAUCCAGCCAUGCCGCGUGAGUGAUGAAGGCCUUAGGGUUGUAAAGCUCUUUCAGUGGGGACGAUAAUGACGGUACCCACAGAAGAAGCCCCGGCUAACUUCGUGCCAGCAGCCGCAGUAA
rnacentral:rRNA from 1 species